rnacentral:rRNA from 1 species
UGAGGAAUAUUGGUCAAUGGGCGCGAGCCUGAACCAGCCAAGUCGCGUGAGGGAGGACGGCCCUACGGGUUGUAAACCUCUUUUGCCGGGGAGCAACGGGCGUCACGUGUGGCGCCACUGAGAGUACCCGAAGAAAAAGCAUCGGCUAACUCCGUGCC